AUGAUUUCCAGCAGGACCUGUAGAUUGUGCCUGUGGAACCCAAACCUGGUAGCCAUUAUGAAUCCAAAUUCGAAUUGCAACAGAGAGACAUGCCACCAUGAGUGGGACAGUCAGGGACAAUCCCAGGAGCACUGAUGAUUUGCUCAAGAAGGAAAGCAAUAAUCCAACACAUGUACUGAGCAACCAGGCAAUAAACCCAUACUUGCGAGGUCUUGAUGUCAUGGCCAAUUCUUCUGCCUUAAGUGAUCGAAGAAAAGCCAUAAUUGAGCAGACAACAGGAGAUAACAGCAGCACUGCAAAGCCAAACUCAAAUUGUUGGUGUGUAGCAUUUAUAAUUUUAAUUGUGUUGGGACGAAAAAUUGCCAUAAUAAUUGUCUCAAGGAUGAAGAUGAAACUAAAGAGAACCCAUGCUCGCUCUGGAGUACCUGCUAUGUGAUGCAGAACAAAUCUAGACAAUUGAAGCCACUUUUCAAGCCCAUGAAGCCUUAGCUCUUCUGACAGAGAAAUUUGAUUUGGCAGAGCAUUGUCAACACUGUUAGAGUCAACAAUCGUGAUAUCAGUAUUGUCACGAUGAUCCCUAUCUGCAUCCAAACUACUCCUCUGUAGUAAUGCCAGGAUAGUUGGAUCCAAGUUUUUCUCUUUCAACAUCAUAGCAAAAUUUGGAUCCAAUCCUUUGUCCUGCAACAAACUAGUCAGUUCUCUAUCACCUUGCCUUGCCCUCUUUCUCAGUAAAGAUGUAAUCCUAGGGUCAUUCAGCGUGUCUUGAAAUGCCAGAGCAAGAUUCAAAUCUAACAGUUGUUGGUUUGCAGAUGUCGAUGAGCUGGACUCACAACCCUGACUGUCAAGACCACUGCUAGAGCAAACUACCAGAGAGUUAUUAUGAUCAAAAUUUUUAUCCCCAGAUGUCCCAGCAUCAGGUUCUUGGACAACUGAACGACAAGAACUGCUACAUAUUGCCAAGCUUGGCCUUCCACUGUCAACGCUUUUAUCACUAUUUAUCCCUUCAUAAGAACUCACAGUUCGACAUAGAACAGCAUUAUUCCAGUUAUUAGCAUCAAUUCUGCAUUGUGCUGUACACUGGCUACCGGAUUCCACAAUAUUAGCAAGGGUAAGGGUACCAGCUUCAACACUACUACUGCGUUUUACACUUGAGCCACAACCUUCAGAAGAGCUAGAUGAAGUGUUCUGUUCCUUUCUGCGGAAGCCCUCCCUUAGGCGAAUCACAGUGUUCUGUAAGGCAUCUCUUCUUGCAGCCAGCGGGUUUGUAACCGAUAAAUGGCGAGAAACAGCAGCACCUAACAGCACAGAUGCUACAACUGCAUAACUAAUACAGUGCCCCAAGUACCAGUAAUGCACCCCAAAGCAAAUAAGAAAAACCCUGGAUGUGCCAGCAACAAAAAGUGCUACAACACGGCUUUGAAGAACCUGAAAUCCAUACAAGCAUGCUCCCAUAUUCCAAUCAAGGAUAAUAACAGCAGCUGAUGUAAUGGCUCCAAGCCAGCGCACUUCCGUUGCAGUCAGACCAUAUAAAAUGGAGUACACAAGAAGAACGACAAGGGAGCCAAGGUAGAGUAGACCAAGAUGUGAAGCCCUGCUAGACUGCCGAGGAUAUAAUUCAUUGGGAUCAGGUGGUUCAGGUAAACAAGCCAUAGGACCCAUUUCUAUACAAUCACUAUAAGCAAAUUUGUAAGCCCUGCGCACGUACUCAUCCACAUCUAAGCCAUUCCCAUUAAAGACCAUGCGACAAAUAAAAAGCAUGUUGAUCGCCAAAGCAAUUGCUGAGACACCGAAAAAGAAACCAGAGGGUGAAUAACGCUCUGAUGCAUUUUUACCAGCUGUAACAUACACAGCACACAGUUCGUACGCACAGAGUAGCGCAACAGCCAGGAGGAGGAGAAUAGCAACUACCCUUGAACUUUGCCAUUGUGUUCUCCACCAAAGCAUGAUUGAAUAGAAUGCCAAUAGAAGAGCAGUACCAGCCAUUAUUACAGCCAAACCAAUUAUAUCGCGACCCAAUAUUACAAUCAACCAUGAGCCCCACAUGACAAGAACCAAAAUUGGAGAUAUAACAAUCAUCCAUGCUGACAGAGAGAGAAAAUGACAUAGUAAACCCAGCUGAGAUCCUCGUAAAACAUAAGGCCAUUUUCUAGCAAAGAUCCAACUAUAAAUCCUCCAAGGUCUCCAAUUCACUGCCCAUAGAAUCCAAAACGAAGCCAAGCCCAAAGCUGCGAAAAGGCUCCCUGAAAUUGCGCAGGCCAAUACAAUCCCGCGCCCAUCUCCUUCCAUGGCCCCCUUCUCUGACCUACUACAAAAGUAAAGUGCGCCUAAUGGGCAACAGCAUGCUGGUCCGAAUUGAACACAGAUAGGUUAUAUAAGGUAUGAAGCUAGAGCAAAAAGGUCAUAUUUUGGAAAUGUUUGAGUCCUGAAACCAAAUAGUUGAGCUUCUACAUAGAAGGGGUUAGGAUUUUGGUGGUGGUGUGGAGCUAAAGAAGAAGAUGAACUAGUGCAAAAAUUUAGCAGCUUUAGGGUUUGGUUUGUUUCGUUUUGUCCAGUGUUUGAUUGACUCGGUUCUAUCUUCUUUGAGAAUUUCUCAGCUCCACAGAGAGAGAGAGAGA
rnacentral:misc_RNA from 1 species